UGGGGAAUCAUGGUCAAUGGACGCAAGUCUGAACCAGCCAUGCCGCGUGCAGGAUGACGGCCCUACGGGUUGUAAACUGCUUUUGUACUGGAAAAAAUCUCCGGUCGUGAAUCGGAGCUGAUGGUACCGUAAGAAUAAGCAUCGGCUAACUCCGUGCCAGCAGCCGCGGUAAUACGGAGGAUGCAAGCGUUAUCCGGAUUCAUUGGGUUUAAAGGGUGCGCAGGCGGAAUGAUAAGUCAGUGGUGAAAUCCUACGGCUCAACUGUAGAACUGCCAUUGAUACUGUCGUUCUUGAGUACACUUGGAGUGGGCGGAAUGUGUCAUGUAGCGGUGAAAUGCUUAGAUAUGACACAGAACACCGAUCGCGAAGGCAGCUCACUAAAUUGUAACUGACGCUAAGGCACGAAAGCGUGGGGAUCAAACA
rnacentral:rRNA from 1 species